rnacentral:lncRNA from 1 species
AAAGCUUACAUUGGUAUGUCAUUGCUGUUGCAUCAGAAAAGUUACAUGCUUUGAAGGUAAUAGUCCUGGUCAGUGGUGAGCUUGUUGGUUUGUCCUGGGAUUUCCCUCCUCUUAUCGCAUCAUAUGUAUACAAGAACACUGCUCAUUAUCUGGCUGAUAUUAUUAGUAUUAUUACUUUCCAAGAAGUAUUUGGCAGUGUUAUCCAUGCUCUCACUGUAUAGCUGGUGAGAAAAAUCUGCCUGUUUUGGGGUUUUGAAUACUCUGAAUGUCAUAAUUUUCUUAUCAGUGACUUGUUUUGUGCUCUUUUUGGGGAUGUUUCAUAUUCAAUAGAUUCCAAAGCAAUCCACUUUGGGUAUCCCUAGAAACCACUAAGGAAGCAGGACUAUAUAACUGCAUUAACAUAGGCCGAAAUGAAAGGAAAAUAAGUAGGCUGUUUUCUUAAUAUAGGAAUUAGGAAGGCUUGGGCGAUAAGCACAUGCUUACUCUUAACCACCACCCCGACUCCUGCGACUUCCUUUGGAGGGCAAAAAACUACUACUUUUCUGCUGGGUGUCAAUUUCCCCUCUUAACAAUCAAGUCAAAUUGAUGUGGAACUAUGAUGUCGAUGAGGUCGACCUCAAUGGGUGGAGUUGUAGUUCUUUUAAUAGGCUCGAGAGAAGUGUAUAAAUUCAGAGCUCCUAAGUCCAUUUUGAAGUAUGUAGGUACAAUGUACCAAUUGGAUGAAAGAAGAUGCAGAUAGUUGUUGAUGCUAUGGAAGAUAGCACUUGACUUCUAAAGUGACAGAGAUUGGUUCGGGCUUCACCACAACAAUAUUGGAAGAGAAUUCAUAAUUACUUCCGUACUAUCAUGGGACGCAUUUGAUAGCUUAAAUUGUUUCAUUGUAAAUACAAGUCAUUUGCAUAUGUUCUUUUCUUCCAUAUAGUUGUUUUACAACAAUGGAUUUUCUUCUCCCCUUCUUUUGUUCCCCAUGUUUAAUUUUUAUACGGGGGGAAGAUGGUCAAGAGAAUGGUUGACAGGUUGUUCUUUACCAAAAGUCCAUCAAUUAUAAAAUAGGGUUUGCGGAUUGACUUCAACAAGUGCUUGUUUUUGGAGCCAUUUUUUACUUGUCUUGGGAUCCUGUUUCUAGCUCUGAGAAGAUGUCUUUUAGGGCUUUGUAUGUGUGUGUGUUCUCAUUGAAUACAAGGUUUGCUGUUUUUUAUAUGGUUUGGCUAGUAAGUUAAGGCAAACCUUGCUGUCUGUUUCUUUUGGAGAAUGGAGUACAGAAUUGAGGCAAUAGUGAAACUGGUAACUUUGAGAUACCUAGAACCGAAAGUUCAAAGGGGCGAAUUUUGUUAGUUAUAGGGAUAAAGAGGGGGAGUUUCCCAUAUUACCAAAGUGAGUGUGAACAUACUGAUUUGGAUUAAAUUGAAUUUGGAACACUUCUUUUCGUAUGUCCCAUCCGAUCAGACUAGGUUCGGUUGCUACAUUUGUUGUUAUAUACUUUUUAAGUAUUUGAAACCAUGCUUCGCAUGUGUGCAAUCAUGUGAACAUAACUGUAAGUUAAUCUAAAAACAUAGCAGUAUCAUAUGCAUAACAUAUUUCAUGAAUUUCACAUUGGUGAAUGUUGAAUCCGCGUCAGUUAAUAUUGUAGGAUAGGUAAUAGAACAUGCAGAACCGGGACUUUCAUGCGAGUGCGUGUGGUAUUGUAGUUUUAUAAGCAUUGUCAUUUUGCUAAUAGUUUCAGUUGUUAAUUUGACUUGGCAAUAUUUCUUGUGCCGGGAAAAGUUGGAUCUCUAUUUCUUCACGCACUUGGAUUCAAAUCUAGUGGUUAGUUUUCACUACCUGUGAGAUUGUCAAAAUUCACAGAUUGGCUUAGAUUGUCAAGCAGUUUCACCUUUGCCUUGUAGGCCGAAUAAGAGAGGAGUUUUGGUAAAGCUUUUUUCAGGUGAAUAUUGGUGAGUUGUGGUUGGAUUAUGGAUUUGUGAAAGGAUGUUACAGAGGAAAAUGAUAUCAAAAUCAGAGUAUAUUUAGGGUCUUUACCACCUCUCUCUCUCUCUCUCUCUCUCUCUCAAUUAAUCUGCAAGUUGUUGAUCCAAGCACAACAGCUAUAGAGAGGGGUUCUGCUUUCUUGAUAGGGCAAAUGGAUUUUGAUUUUGGACUCUUAAAACAAUCGUGAACAAUAUGGCUUGUGAGUGAUAUUUGGAGGACCUUUAAGACCAAACCAUCAACAGAAAAAUGGCCUGAGUUUACAUUGAUGAGAAUGAAAUGUGUGUAUACACGCACGCGCGCGCACACCCACUUUAACUAUAUGUAAAGUCAGUCAAGAGAUCAUGGAAUCGGCAAACAACUCUCAAAAGUUUCACGCAAACUUGUUGCACUGAAACUGUGUUCCAAAUUCCUUCCAAAUUCUCAAAUUAUGUACACAAAAAUGCCUAGUUUUUUUGAAUUUUUUUAGUUGAUUUAAUUUUUGAGUUUUUUUGCCUUUGGUGAUUUUUUUUCGUUAUUUGAUCAAAAUUUAUUAUACUUUUUCAGUUCUUCAUGAGAGGGAAUUGAAAAUGUAAAAAUUUUUAGUUAACUUAAAAAAAAGUUCAUUGAAGACAAAAAAAAAUUAUUUUGCUUGAAAAAUUUGCUAAGUUUUGGUCUUUAGUUAAUUUUUUUUUUAAAUUUAAAUAAAUUUUGUAAAUUUCUCUUGUGAACCAGAAUUGAAAAAAAAAUGAAUGUGAUCAAACACCGAUAAAAAAUCACUAAAAAAAAAAAACUUACAAAUCAAAGCAUCUAAAAAAACAAAUCUUGGCCAACUCCUCGUGAUUGCGAGAUAUUCUAUCAAAAGUUAUCAAAUAAUGAAGUUUAGUUUCAACACACAUUUUGAAUUGAAUUCAUUGGAGGGUUGAGGGAUGAGUUGAAUUCAGUCGAUUUUUUUGCAAAUUAGAGAAAGAAAAAAAAUUUAAUAGCAUGAGGCCAUUUCUGUACAUAUUCUUUAAAUAUUCAUAAACUAGAUGGGUAUAAGAAAUAUUUUGAAACAUAUUAAUUUCUGAAUUCAAAUAUAUUAAUUGUAUGCCUGUGUUUAAGAUGUUGGAACACCUAAAAUGAACUAACAAAAUACCACAAUUUAAUAAUAAUUUAAAAUAUUUCAAUAUAUCCAUAAUCUCGAACAAAUACGCUAUUUUACUGAUCAAACAAUGAGUGAGUUUCACAUUAAAAUUUGAAGAAGCUUGUUCAAAUAAGAGUAAAGCUAGCCUUACCGAAUAAUUAUACCGCACGGUUUACCGAAAACGUGAAAUGGUAUCGUUUUCAAAUGAAAAAAAUAAAGAGAUAAAAAAAUUAAUAAAACUUUCAUCUGAAAAGUUAAAAUUUCAAAACCACUUGGGGCCCUUGUUACUACUCUCGUCGUCAGAAGAGAGAGAGAGCGCUUCCAAGUCCGGCCACCAACGCUCCCCGUUGGAAGCGCUCUCUCUCUCUUCCGACGACGAGAGUAGUAACAAGGGCCCCGAGUGGUUUUGAAAUUUUAACUUUUCAGAUGAAAGUUUUAUUAAUUUUUUUAUCUCUUUAUUUUUUUCAUUUGAAAACGAUACCGUUUCACGUUUUCGGUAAACCGUGCGGUAUAAUUAUUCGGUAAGGCUAGCUUUACUCUUCAAAUAAGUGUAACCCACAUACUGCAGGAUCAAUUAUUUGUAAAGAGUGUAUUACUACAAUUGAAAGUAAAAGUUGCAAAUAGAUAUUUCAUUGAUAAGUACAGGGAUACAAAAUGUAUUUUGUCCUAAUUUCCAAUUAGAGAUCAACUAAAUCGUAUCUUUUCGUACUUAUUUUUUUUGCCCCAAAUUAAGGUUGGAGCGGGAGCGAAACAAUCUUCGUACAGAUUUCCCCAAAAGUUUACACUCGUCGAAUCUUCGAAUUCCCACCAGAAUCAGGCAAAUCAUUCUUUCUAAAGAGAGAGAGAGAGAGGGGAGUGAGAGAGACAUGGGGAAUCCGAAACAGAAAUGGACGUCGGAGGAAGAAGAUGCCCUUCGAGCGGGAGUGGCCAAACACGGCACUGGCAAGUGGAAGAACAUCCUCAGAGAUCCGGAGUUCGCACCUUCUCUCACUCAUCGUUCCAACAUUGACCUAAAGGUUCCAAUUCCAUUCUCGUUUUCUUGAAUCGAUUAGUUCUUCAACAUUGACUGUGCAUCGAUUGUUUUUUUCCCUAUUUUCCGGGGUAUAUUUUGAUACUAGAAUUGUUCAUGACCUCAAAGAUGUGUUUGUUAAUGAAUGCGUUAUAUGUUCAUAGAUUCUGAUAGGUUUGCGUAUAAUUCUCAAUCGUGGAGUAUUUUGGACUUCAUCGAGUAAAAAUCUGGCGUCUCUGUCUACACACGUAUUCUUGGAUGCGUGAGCGUAGAUUGGGUAAUUUUGAUACUGGAAUUGUUCUUCUAAAAGAAAGCGUGUGUUCAUGAGUGUGUUGUCUGCUUAUAAACUUUGAUACUAGAAUUGCUCUGUCACUCCUUUACAAAUGACUAGAAUUAUUUUCCAUAUUUACACAGAAUAUAUUUCUCAAUCAUGGAGUAUUUUGGACUCUAUUGAGUGUAAAUUGGGCGCCUACACACACACUCUUGGAUUUGUAUACGAGGCGAUUUUUUUUUUAGGGUUAAUUUUGAUACUAGAAUUGUUUUAAUUAAAAGGAUGUGUGUGUUCGUAAAUGUGUUGUGUGCUCACAAGUUUUGCUACUAGAACUAUUUUACACAUUCAAACAUUAAAUAUUUCUUGCACUUGGGCAUAUUUAUCAAUCAUGGAGUAUUUUGGACUUCAUUGAGUAAAAGUUGGCGUCUCUAUCUACACGCAUGAACUCCUCGAUUUGCAUAAGCAUUAUAUAGUUUUUCUUUUUUGGAGGGCAAGUUUUGAUCCUAGAAUUCUUUUUACUGAAAGUAUGUGUGAGCGUUCGUGAUUCUGUUGCUUGUUCAUAGAUUUUGAUACUAGAACUGUUUUACCACUCUUUUACAGAGGACUUGAAUUGAUUUACACGUUUACACAUCUGGGUUGUGUUACUGAGUUUAAGUUUAAUUUUUUUUUCUUCUGAAAAUAAUUUUCUGUGACUUAGAUAAUUGCAACCAACAUUGGUUUCAUCAAUUCUGGCAACAUUAGCUUAAUUGUGUAAGCAGCAAUAUUUAUAUCCUUGUUCAGAAGGGAGUGAGUUUGGGAUAUUAACAUGUAAACAUUGGAAAGAAUCAGUUAUUUAAAUAGUAAAAAUAGAGCCUUUUUUUAAUGGAUUUUCUAUUUGGAUUAAGGGAUAUGAAAGAUAAAAAUGUAGUCAGAAUUCUGACAGCAUUAAGCACUUAACUUGAUAGCUUUUUCCGGUUGUCUUGGCUAGUUUUUCAGGCGUUUUAGAUGCUGGAAUGAGGGGGAACCAGUUAUAAUGGACAAUGGCCAUGCAGAGACACUAAACAAGCCAUGCAUGCUACGUUUAGUUGCGUACGAUCUAUUCUUAUUUCCUAGGGCUAACGGUAAACAAGUGUGGUAGGGAUAACUCCCACUAUUGUUUUUUCCUUGCGUACACUGUACAUGUCUUUCUUUGCUACCGUGUGUUAAGAUUGCUGAUUUUGCUAUCCGUUUUUAUUUUGAUCCCUAUGUAAACAUUGACAUUGAAUAAUUCCUAUAGUACAGUAGCCAUCCCGGGGGACCCUAAACUUCAAAAUUCUCAUGAGAUUUGUGCAUAAGGACUGUUUGGGUCACGACCAUAAAAUAUACAAGUAACCUUUCCUGGUUACAGAUCCAAACAGGACUAACAAGUGUUUAUUUGCUUGCAGACCCCCAAACCAAAUAAGCCAACAAGCCAAUUGGCUUGACUGAAAACUCGCACCACACUUUCAAUUGUACAAUUAAACAAGGAUCACAACGGUCUUUUAUGACCAUAGUUAAACCCAGGAAUUUGGAGCUACUAGAUAGUUUAUCUGUUCAUUACUUUGCGAGUUAGGCCUCAUUUGGCCCGCUCUUAUAAACAAGUUUUUCGGGGAGAGGGGGGGUUAAAAAAAUUUAAGCAAAAACCAAAUAAGCUGCCUUGUAUGGCUCCCUAACUUUUGAGUUGUUUUUGUUAGCUCUUAUAAGCAAGCCAUUUUGUUUUUUUGUUUUGCUUUUGCUUUUGCCUUUUUGAUUUAAAAAAGAAAAACCCAUCUUAUAAGAAGUUCUGAAGAGGCCUUACAUAUUUUUAUUAAUCUUCUUUUUAUGAUAAGUAUGGUGUUCAUGUAGGUUUCGUGAAUAUAUUCAAGAUCCUCAUAGGCUGAUAUCACAAGUGCUUAUAUUUGUUUUUGCUGUUUUUGUAAGGUUUUUAAGUAAUCUGCUUCAUUUACCAAUAUGCUGAUGGGGUCAUUUGCAUGUUAUCUCUGUUUCUUUUGCCAGUAUUAAAUGCUUUUAUUUGCAGUUGUUACUCACUUAAUCCAUGUAAUUUUGUAUUUUCUUGUUUUUGUUCGUCAUAUGGAAUUCAUGGAUUGAAAGUACCAGUAGUUUGCUCAACAAAGAUGGUUUCUAUUGCAUGAAUUCAGUUACUCCAACAUGCUAGUUUCUAGGCUCAUACUUGAUUGUAUGAUUAGGACAAAUGGCGGAACAUGAGCGUUAAUAUUGCUACACAAGGCUCAAAAGAGAAGUCAAAAGUUCCUAAAGUAAAAGCUACUACCAAUGGUGCCAAUGGUGAAAAUUCUGCUUCUGCUGCUUCACUUGCCGACGAUGAAAUCACUGAUGAUCCUUCUAAAACCCCACAAGAUGGAAAAGCUGCUCCUCGGUGCGUUUCUCUGUUGGUUCCCUAUUGUGCAUAUAUGAGUAAAAUAAGUGUUGCUCUAUCUGGUGGGAGAUUCUUAUACUUGCAUAAAGGCUUUGCAAUCCUUAAAUGCAGACUGUACCCCCAUGACACAAUAAUCCUUUUUAAGCAGUGAAUGGAUUUAUAUUUGCUUGAAUUUAGUAUUUACUGUCAGUUUUAUUAACGCUGUUCAGCUGUUAGUCCAUGGUCUAUUUUUGCAAUUUCGGGUGAAGUUACAAUUUUAGGUCUUUGUAUGUGGUUUAUAGUCAAAUUGUUAACAGGUUUCUGUAGAAAUAGGACAAGGCCAGUAGCCAAUAUAUGAUUUUGUGAUUCUCAAGUUUGACAAGGUUAUUGGAAUUUGAGAUGUAAUUUGUAUGAUGGAACUUUAACCAUGAGGAUGAAGGUUAAGAGCCUUCAGGUAUCCUAGAACCAAAAACUUGACGUUGUCAAUUGUAACUUAGCAUAUGAAUCUUAUCACCAGUCACGUUGGCAUAUGAUUUCUAUUGGCUCAAACGUGACUAUUGGGAUGUGAAACCUCUGAAUGUAAAAGUAGAGAAAUUUAAUUAAACACAGAAAUUUAAUUAAAUUCAUAAACUCAUUUAAGUUGUGGCGGCACUACCAAAUCCCCUGUAGGUUGCAAGUUGCAUCGAAUUUUGUAGCUGGAGGCCUAUUUUUCUCCCUGGUAGGGCAGUUGAAAUCCUUUCAAGUUACACACUACUUUCUCCGUCCCAUAUUGUUGUUUCUUUUUUUGUGAGUUCCAACGU